rnacentral:rRNA from 1 species
AUUGAACGCUGGCGGCAUGCUUUACACAUGCAAGUCGAACGGUAACAGGCCGCAAGGUGCUGACGUGUGGCGAACGGGUGAGUAAUGCAUCGGAACGUGCCCAGUCGUGGGGGAUAACUGCUCGAAAGAGCAGCUAAUACCGCAUACGAUCUAUGGAUGAAAGCGGGGGACCGUAAGGCCUCGCGCGAUUGGAGCGGCCGAUGUCAGAUUAGGUAGUUGGUGGGGCAAAGGCUCACCAAGCCAACGAUCUGUAGCUGGUCUGAGAGGACGACCAGCCACACUGGGACUGAGACACGGCCCAGACUCCUACGGGAGGCAGCAGUGGGGAAUUUUGGACAAUGGGGGCAACCCUGAACCAGCAAUGCCGCGUGCAGGAAGAAGGCCUUCGGGUUGUAAACUGCUUUUGUACGGAACGAAACGGUCUGGGUUAAUACCCUGGGCUAAUGACGGUACCGUAAGAAUAAGCACCGGCUAACUACGUGCCAGCCGCCGCCGUAACAC